GGAUGUUCAGUGGUAGAGCGUUUGCUUUACAUGUGAAAGGCCCCAGGUUCGAACCCCGGCAUCUC